rnacentral:rRNA from 4 species
UGGUGGGUAGUUUGACUGGGGCGGUCUCCUCCUAAAGAGUAACGGAGGAGCACGAAGGUUGGCUAAUCCUGGUCGGACAUCAGGAGGUUAGUGCAAUGGCAUAAGCCAGCUUGACUGCGAGCGUGACGGCGCGAGCAGGUGCGAAAGCAGGUCAUAGUGAUCCGGUGGUUCUGAAUGGAAGGGCCAUCGCUCAACGGAUAAAAGGUACUCCGGGGAUAACAGGCUGAUACCGCCCAAGAGUUCAUAUCGACGGCGGUGUUUGGCACCUCGAUGUCGGCUCAUCACAUCCUGGGGCUGAAGUAGGUCCCAAGGGUAUGGCUGUUCGCCAUUUAAAGUGGUACGCGAGCUGGGUUUAGAACGUCGUGAGACAGUUCGGUCCCUAUCUGCCGUGGGCGCUGGAGAACUGAGGGGGGCUGCUCCUAGUACGAGAGGACCGGAGUGGACGCAUCACUGGUGUUCGGGUUGUCAUGCCAAUGGCACUGCCCGGUAGCUAAAUGCGGAAGAGAUAAGUGCUGAAAGCAUCUAAGCACGAAACUUGCCCCGAGAUGAGUUCUCCCUGAGACUUAGAGUCUCCUGAAGGAACGUUGAAGACGACGACGUUGAUAGGCCGGGUGUGUAAGCGCAGCGAUGCGUUGAGCUAA